rnacentral:rRNA from 1 species
CCGGGCUCCGAGCUCUGAUUGAGUUUGAUCCUGGCUCAGAUUGAACGCUAGCGGGAUGCUUUCACAUGCAAGUCGAACGGCAGCACGAGAGAGCUUGCUCUCUUGGUGGCGAGUGGCGGACGGGUGAGUAAUAUAUCGGAACGUGCCCAGUAGCGGGGGAUAACUACUCGAAAGAGUGGCUAAUACCGCAUACGCCCUACGGGGGAAAGGGGGGGAUCGCAAGACCUCUCACUAUUGGAGCGGCCGAUAUCGGAUUAGCUAGUUGGUGGGGUAAAGGCUCACCAAGGCAACGAUCCGUAGCUGGUUUGAGAGGACGACCAGCCACACUGGGACUGAGACACGGCCCAGACUCCUACGGGAGGCAGCAGUGGGGAAUUUUGGACAAUGGGGGAAACCCUGAUCCAGCCAUCCCGCGUGUAUGAUGAAGGCCUUCGGGUUGUAAAGUACUUUUGGCAGAGAAGAAAAGGCAUCCCCUAAUACGGGAUGCUGCUGACGGUAUCUGCAGAAUAAGCACCGGCUAACUACGUGCCAGCAGCCGCGGUAAUACGUAGGGUGCAAGCGUUAAUCGGAAUUACUGGGCGUAAAGCGUGUGUAGGCGGUUCGGAAAGAAAGAUGUGAAAUCCCAGGGCUCAACCUUGGAACUGCAUUUUUAACUGCCGAGCUAGAGUAUGUCAGAGGGGGGUAGAAUUCCACGUGUAGCAGUGAAAUGCGUAGAUAUGUGGAGGAAUACCGAUGGCGAAGGCAGCCCCCUGGGAUAAUACUGACGCUCAGACACGAAAGCGUGGGGAGCAAACAGGAUUAGAUACCCUGGUAGUCCACGCCCUAAACGAUGUCAACUAGCUGUUGGGAUAAUACUGACGCUCAGACACGAAAGCGUGGGGAGCAAACAGGAUUAGAUACCCUGGUAGUCCACGCCCUAAACGAUGUCAACUAGCUGUUGGGGCCGUUAGGCCUUAGUAGCGCAGCUAACGCGUGAAGUUGACCGCCUGGGGAGUACGGUCGCAAGAUUAAAACUCAAAGGAAUUGACGGGGACCCGCACAAGCGGUGGAUGAUGUGGAUUAAUUCGAUGCAACGCGAAAAACCUUACCUACCCUUGACAUGUCUGGAAUGCCGAAGAGAUUUGGCAGUGCUCGCAAGAGAACCGGAACACAGGUGCUGCAUGGCUGUCGUCAGCUCGUGUCGUGAGAUGUUGGGUUAAGUCCCGCAACGAGCGCAACCCUUGUCAUUAGUUGCUACGCAAGAGCACUCUAAUGAGACUGCCGGUGACAAACCGGAGGAAGGUGGGGAUGACGUCAAGUCCUCAUGGCCCUUAUGGGUAGGGCUUCACACGUCAUACAAUGGUCGGGACAGAGGGUCGCCAACCCGCGAGGGGGAGCCAAUCUCAGAAACCCGAUCGUAGUCCGGAUCGCAGUCUGCAACUCGACUGCGUGAAGUCGGAAUCGCUAGUAAUCGCGGAUCAGAAUGUCGCGGUGAAUACGUUCCCGGGUCUUGUACACACCGCCCGUCACACCAUGGGAGUGGGUUUCACCAGAAGUAGGUAGCCUAACCGUAAGGAGGGCGCUUACCACGGUGGGAUUCAUGACUGGGGUGAAGUCGUAACAAGGUAACCGUAA